CAGGGAACUCUGGAUCUGUCUAAUGAUCGGAACCAUCUUUCUCCUUCUUUAUCUCCAGGGUGGCUGAUUCCUGUGGUAAUUGUAGCAGGCUUACUCCUAGUAGUUGGGAUUCCCUUCCUGAUAUGCUGGUUUUGGAGAAGACGCAGAAAGAACCACUAUCAGGAAGUGGCAAUCUGCCAUGAUCAGGCUCCUUCACAAAGAGCUCCUUCUCCCCCCGAGAAUGAAACAGAAGAUGAGAGUCGAUCUCCCUUGUUGCCUAAAUCAACAUCAGAGCACAAGGCAUCCUACGGAAUGCACAGGAGUCAGAGUGAUCCAGGAGCCUCAGUGUCACCAUUGUGCAGGCAAGAAAAGGAGUGCAAAGUGGAAAACGUGGGAUUGGAGCCAGCCAAGCGCAUCCAUGAACACCAACUGGCUGUCAGAGGACAUGAUGAAAAUUUCCUUAAUUUCACAAUAUAGGGAUAGACUCAACCAUCGUUUCAACUGGGAAACUGUGAGCAAGCCAAAUCCAGAAAACAUUAGAGAAUUCCUGGAGGCUUGGCACUUACUGUGGACAAAUUGGCCAUCAACAGGCACAUAGAGAUAAACAACAUCUACAUCCCACUGAAAAGAAACAGUCCAAACACCCAAAGGAAACAAAAAGUACCUUUUAACCAGCAAUCUAUAUGAGCAGAAAUGAACACCAAGAUUAACACUAGACCAGCAAUCAAGUAAACAGCAUCCCAAUCGAAUAAUUACCAAUACAGGCAAAGAAGCUAACAUUAAACAACAGCUUAAUCAAGGAACUCCAAGAAAAGCCCCACCAACAGUGACCGGGCAAGUCACUAGGAUCUAAAAAGAG
rnacentral:lncRNA from 1 species